AUGGACCACCGACCUUUCUCCAGAUUAUAUCUUUUGUUUGAGGGGGAAGCUGGAUAUAAACUGGCAGUUAUAAAAAUUGUGAAGAAAUCAACUUGCUCUUUUCAUUAUGUGUUUUUGGUCUCAAGCAUUUUCCAUGAACUGUGUGUGGAUUCAUUGCCUACAUUGGAUAACGAAGACUUGAGUGUUGCUACUAAGCAGUGUGUCCCCAAGAAAUUGUCACAGCCUUCACCUGGACCUUCCCAUGAAAAAGGCAACAGAAUAGUCAAUGGGAAAAGAGAAGGUGAGAAGUGUAUUUUAUUUAAAAAGUCAUUUGAUGGAAUGUUUCUGUUUAAACAGGAACACUAAUAUAGUCUACUAGCUAAAGAAAAUGUCCUAUUAACUAUAAUAAGUAAACGAGAAGUCAAAUGGUGAUAAAUUGUGUCUCUAACCAAGGGUCAGCAGUUGAUUCUAUUGGGAGCACCACUAAAGGACCUGAGUGUGAGUUCCAUUUUAAGAUACUCUAAGACCUGAGACAACUCAGGAGAGAGGGAAGAGGAAAUGAAUAAAGAGAAAGAAAGAAUGAAGACGGCAGAGUGUACAUGUAAUACAUAAAAAAUCAUAUGCGGGCGUAUGUAAUGGAGGGUAGUAAAGUCAAAUUGCUCUGUAGAGGAAGGAAGAACAGGGUGUUAGAAAUAGGAAAGAAGAUAAAGUAAGCCUCCAGUACUAAAAUGUGUCAGCGAAUUAGAGUAACAUUUUCCUACUCUUGCUGUCAUCCUCACUACUGGGGAGGCAUUAAGGAUUGAGGUGCUUUACCACACAGACCUGUGUUUUAUCUACCAUAAAUGAAUAUCACCGUAAAUGGUCAGCCAUGCAUGGCUAUAAUUUAGUUUUAUAGGAAAUGGUGUAAAUUCAUGGGACAGUAUCAUAUAGGCCAAAUUAACAUAGUUGAAAAGAAUGGUGUUGGGUGAUUUAUGGAGAAGAAAUUAAGUAGAGAUGGUAUAGCCUGAUUAAAAGUUCAUUAGAAACAUUAUGGCUUAUAAUGUAGUAUUAAAUUCAGGGACAUAGCAGGGAAGAAAUUGACACUAGGCCAAACAGGGCAAUUAGGGUAAACCAAUAUGCAAGCACAUCAGUGUAGAAAAGGGCAUUCAAAUUGUCAUGAAUUAGUUGAGGAGCUUCUGGAAAGUGCACAUUCUGAUUCAGCAGGUAUGGGAUUCUGUAUUUCUCAUGAGUACUCAGGUGAUGUUAGUGCUGGUCCC
rnacentral:lncRNA from 1 species